GUUGUGCAGAAGAGGAUCCAGGUUCCAAUGAUAAAAUAUACUGCGAUCCUCUACCGGAAGCAAGAACAAGCUAUCAUGACGGGGAAGAUGUUUCUGAUCAAGGUGGACAUCGGAAUCCCCGCCAACUUCCUCCACCUGGAAGUGUUCCUGCCCUGGGGCUCCCCGUGCUGUCUGCUGGCGGUCGAGGAAAACCACAACGCUAGUGAUACGAUGGUACCCCUGGUCUGAGGGAAUUCACCGAUCAUCCCUGUUUCCGCCCCUCCCUAAACCACCCAAACCUCUGAGAGCAGUCGGUGACAACUAGUUGGUGGUUACAAUGGAGCACAGAUCCCAGGCUCUCUGUCCACACCCCACGCACCCCACCCCAACCUGCCCACUCACCGACGGUUUGCGGGGCCCCUGGGUAUGAACGUCACCCCUUCCCGCCCCAACCCCGCUACAGCUCGCUGAGGCCAUUGCCAAGCUUCCGCCACUCGACUGCACGAGCUUCGAUCAAUAAAACUGCAUCGAUCUGA